CCAGAGUUUAACAAUGCUUUUUUUUUUUGCAGCUAUCAAAAUAUGAGUUGUUUAGUGUCCCUUAGGGUCAAUUUAGGGACCAUUCAAGAUGUAAUAAAGCUGUUUAGGGGCCAUUCAAGAUGUAAUAAAGCUGUUUGGGGGGAGAAUGCCAUACCAAUACUCGUGACAUCCUCUAGAAUGUUAUAUGUUAGUUCCCAAAUAGUUUUUAACUUCUGACAAUUCCACCAGAUAUGAGUAUAAAAACCUUCUGCAUGAUUAUAACGCCAACAGAAAAUGGCAUAUGUAUGGAACAUUUUAUUGAUUUUCUUUGGAACUAAGUGCCAUCUUGUCAGUAUCUUGUAUUGUAACUCUAUAAGAUUAAGGCAGU